CCAGAGUUCCCAGGGAAGGACAUUCAUCUUGGUAUGAUACAUUGAUUCAAAAUUUCUCUUACCUUUCAUAUGUUAUAUAAAUAUUUGUGCAUCAAGUUUGUUGUUUUAACAUCGGUCAAAGCUGUGGACGAAAGAGUUUACUUUUGAUUUAAAAACACACAAUGAUAAUUAAAACAGUAUUGAGAAUUUUAUUUUUCACAAUUCCAUUGAUAACUAUUGCUUCCUCCGACAGCAAAUUAUAUAUCGGGUUUCUGGGAUAUUUGAAUCCAAACAACACCGACAUAAGCGGAAAUUGUUGUGAUGGCACGAAACCACCAUGUAAUGCCUUAUGUCACCUAAUAUUUAACGUCACGGUGCAGGGUAAAUCAAUUGAACAGCAAAGCCGUAAACUCUCCGCAAAACCAAUAGAAAGCAGUGCCGCUGAGCAUUUUCAGUUGAGUAACACAGACCCUGAAAUUAUUAACCCGCUUAUGUUCACGUUUGGUACGUGGCCG